UCCUUGAAUUUUAUUCAAUUUCUUACCUAAAAAUUGUAGAUUUAUACCAAAAAAACAACAACAAAUGACUUCGCACACGGCAAAGACGGUAAUGCUCCGUGAGAUUAAUCCAUCCAAAGUUCCCUGCUCACCUCAACAUACAAAAACAAAAUCAAUGGGCAAAAUCAAUGGGUCUGUGUAGCCAAGUGCUUCUUUGCCUUGCUAUCUAUCCCAUGUGAAACCGACCUGAAUUCUCUCCCUUAAUCUUCUUCACCCCACGGUUUCUCUCUCUCUCUCUCUCUCUCUCUCCCUCUCUGUGUAUGUUCCAUUGAAGCUCUGUGAAUGAAAUUCCUGUAAAAGGGUGCGAAUUUGUGGCCUAGUUUAGAGGAUUAUAGGGUAUACCCACAAGCCGAGAACGGCAAAUCAAUCGGAUUUGAGGGGACCCUUAACUUCAUUCCCUGUGAUGCAUUCAUUCGUAAUUGGUGGGGUUUCCAUCGCCGCUCUUGGAUUUCUCUGUGUUGUGAGGGUUUGAUUUGCGUUUGUGCUAUACGUUUGGACUGGUUGUCAGUUGGGGAGCGAAUUCGCGACUGCUUUGGGAAUUAGGGUUUUUGAGGCUAAAGGGCAUUCGUAUCCGGGUUUGAUUUGGUGCUUCACUGGUUUCCUGAUUUGGGAUUUUGAGAUUGAGAGGGCAUGGCUUGAAGAUUUGAGUCUCGAAGUUUGAUGGUGUUUGGGUCUGGACCGGUCCGCGUUGCUUUCCUGUUUUGGGAAAUCGCUUGUUUGGCUUUCUAGGUUUGGGGUUUUCAGGCUAAAGAGUACUGGUGUUCUGGUCUUAUGUCCAAUCCGUCAUCUGUUUCUGAAUUCGGAUUCUUAAUGUUACAGGAUAUUGGGGUUUCAUUCUGAUAACUGGUUUAAGGGUUCACUCAGUUAACUUAUUGAGAUAUGAGCCGUAGGGUCCGAAGGAAAGUGGCAAGGAAGGGGAAGAACAAUGAAGUUUUGCCGAGCUACCCAGAAAUUGAGGAUGAGGAUUCGCAUCCUGAUGAAAAAGUGCAAGUGGAUUGGACUAAAUUACCUGAUGAUACAGUGAUUCAGCUGUUUUCUUGUCUGAAUUACCGGGACAGGGCGAGUUUGUCAGCAACCUGCCGGACAUGGAGGAUUUUGGGCAGUUCUCCAUGUUUGUGGCAAUCUCUGGAUCUCCGUGCUCACAAAUGUGAUGCUACCGCGGCAGCUUCACUUGCCUCUAGAUGUGUGAAUCUUCAGAAACUCCGGUUUCGCGGGCCAGAAUCUGCUGAUGUGAUAAUUAAUCUCCAGGCCAGGGGUUUGUGUGAAAUCAGUGGCGAUUACUGCAGGAAAAUUAAUGAUGCUACUCUCUCUGUGAUCGCAGCUCGACAUGAAGUACUUGAGAGCCUCCAACUUGGUCCAGAUUUUUGUGAAAGGAUCACCAGUGAUGCAAUCAAAGCAAUUGCAAUUUGCUGUUCUAAACUUAGGAAGCUAAGGCUUUCAGGUAUCAGGGAUGUUGAUGGAGAAGCAAUAAAUGCUUUGGCUAAGCAUUGUGGGGCUUUGACAGACAUUGGGUUCAUAGAUUGUCUCAAGGUUGAUGAGGUAGCAUUAGGAAAUGUUGUUUCAGUUCGGUUCCUCUCAGUUGCGGGAGCUCCAAGUAUGAAAUGGGGUGUGGCCACACAUCAUUGGGGUAAGCUCCCUAACUUGACUGGAUUAGAUGUUUCAAGAACAGAUGUUGUUCCAACUGCUGUUUCAAGAUUGCUGUCAUCUUCGCAAAGCUUGAAGAUCUUGUGUGCAUUAAAUUGUCCAGCUCUUGAGGAAGAUUCCAGCUUUGUCACCAAUAAUAACAAAGGUAAAUUGUUGUUUGCCAGCUUUACUAACAUUUUCAAAGGGUUAAAUUCUCUACUUGCUGGCACAACAAUGAAAGAGAGGAAUGUAUUCUCAAAUUGGAGAAAUUCGAAGAAAAAAGAUAAGAACUUGGAUGAAAUCAUGACAUGGCUUGAAUGGAUCCUCUCCCAUUCACUUCUACGUAUUGCUGAGAGCAACCCACAGGGUUUGGAUGAUUUCUGGCUCAACCAAGGUGCAGCACUGUUGCUCAAUUUGAUGCAUAGUUCACAGGAGGAUGUUCAGGAAAGGGCAGCCACAGGACUUGCAACUUUUGUUGUUGUUGAUGAUGAGCAUGCUAGCAUUCAUAGUGGUAGAGCUGAAGCAGUUAUGCGGGAUGGUGGGAUACGUUUUCUUCUAAACCUGGCAAGAUCUUGGCGUGAAGGGCUUCAAUCCGAAGCAGCAAAGGCUAUAGCAAACUUGUCUGUGAAUGCAAAUGUUGCGAAAGCUGUUGCAGAAGAAGGAGGAAUCAACAUUCUUGCAAAUCUGGCACGGUCUAUGAAUAGGAUGGUUGCUGAAGAGGCUGCUGGAGGCCUAUGGAAUCUCUCUGUUGGGGAAGAGCAUAAGUGUGCAAUUGCUGAGGCUGGUGCUAUAAAAGCUUUAGUUGAUCUUAUCUUCAAAUGGUCUACUGGUGAUGGGGUUCUGGAACGUGCAGCUGGUGCCCUUGCAAAUUUGGCAGCUGAUGACAAGUGUAGCAUGGAGGUUGCAGUGGUAGGUGGUGUGCAUGCUUUGGUGAUGCUAGCACGGAACUGCAAGUUUGAGGGAGUGCAAGAGCAGGCUGCUCGUGCCUUGGCUAAUUUGGCUGCCCACGGGGACAGCAACAGUAACAAUGCUGCUGUUGGACAAGAAGCAGGUGCUCUUGAAGCACUUGUGCAACUCAUACGUUCCCCCCAUGAAGGUGUCAGGCAAGAAGCUGCUGGUGCGUUAUGGAAUUUAUCAUUUGAUGAUAGAAACAGAGAAGCAAUUGCAGCAGCUGGUGGUGUUGAAGCAUUGGUUGCUCUUGCACAGUCCUGUUCAAAUGCCUCUCCAGGUCUUCAGGAGAGGGCUGCUGGUGCUUUAUGGGGAUUGUCAGUAUCAGAAACAAAUAGUAUUGCUAUUGGACGAGAAGGAGGAGUUGCACCUCUGAUAGCACUUGCACGCUCUGAUUCUGAAGAUGUCCAUGAGACUGCUGCUGGAGCUCUUUGGAAUCUUGCAUUUAACGCUGGUAAUGCUCUUCGAAUAGUUGAGGAAGGGGGAGUUCCUGCCCUUGUUCGUCUUUGUUCUUCAUCAGCAUCUAAAAUGGCACGCUUCAUGGCUGCGCUGGCAUUAGCAUACAUGUUUGAUGGAAGAAUGGAUGAAUUAGCACUGGUAGGGACUUCAUCAGAGAGCACGUCUAAAAGUGUGAGCUUAGAUGGAGCUAGGAGAAUGGCUCUGAAGCACAUUGAAGCAUUUGUCCUUACAUUUUCUGAUCCACAAGCAUUUGGUGCUGCCGCUGUAUCAUCAGCUCCUACAGCUUUGACACAAGUAACUGAAUCAGCUCGAAUUCAGGAGGCAGGUCAUCUGAGAUGCAGUGGUGCUGAGAUUGGAAGAUUUGUGAUAAUGCUGCGAAAUCCUUUUUCCAUACUUAAAGCAUGCGCCGCAUUUGCCCUUCUCCAGUUCACAAUUCCAGGUGGCCGGCAUGCAGUGCACCAUGUUAACCUUUUGCAGAAUGCUGGGGCACCACGGGUUUUGCGUGCUGCAGCUGCAGCAGCAACUGCACCACUCGAAGCUAAAAUUUUUGCAAGAAUAGUCCUCCGCAACCUAGAGCACCACCAGAUGGAACUUCAAGCCAAGGAGUAGUUUGGUCAGGGGGAAACAAUCUGAGCCAGGUUUGUUGAUGGAGGCAUUUUGUUCUCAGUUAGAUUUCAUUGGUUAAGUAGCAGACUGGUGUGCCGUGGCAAUAUGCUAUGUCUGUAACCUCAAUGAAGAACCUAGCACUGCGCCUGGGAACAGUUCUGGCAAAUCUUAUUCAAGGCGCUCUGUAAAUGUGAUUGGAAGUGUUAGAAAUGCCUCUGUUGCUGAUGCUGAAUCAUGAAUCUCUGUUGAAGUGGGUCAGGUAGAUUAUGCAUGUUCUCUUCAUUUCAUGUUCCCCUUUCUUUUUUGUCUUUUUUUAACAUGCUUUCAAGCUUACCUAUUAUUAUAUGCCUCAGAUCAAACUAUAGAGCCAAGGAGACAUUUUGGGUGUAAGUUUUUGCAUUAUAUUCAUGAUUGGUUGAAGGGUAAAGGUUAAAAGUUACAAUUCCCUUUACAAUAUUGAGAUAAAAUUGUGUACGAGAACAAUCAUAUUUUGAUCAUCAUCACAAUGGUUUAUAGCUUUAUUUUA